AUUGAACGCUGGCGGCAGGCCUAACACAUGCAAGUCGAGCGGAUGAAGGGAGCUUGCUCCUGGAUUCAGCGGCGGACGGGUGAGUAAUGCCUAGGAAUCUGCCUGGUAGUGGGGGAUAACGUCCGGAAACGGGCGCUAAUACCGCAUACGUCCUGAGGGAGAAAGUGGGGGAUCUUCGGACCUCACGCUAUCAGAUGAGCCUAGGUCGGAUUAGCUAGUUGGUGGGGUAAAGGCCUACCAAGGCGACGAUCCGUAACUGGUCUGAGAGGAUGAUCAGUCACACUGGAACUGAGACACGGUCCAGACUCCUACGGGAGGCAGCAGUGGGGAAUAUUGGACAAAGGGCGAAAGCCUGAUCCAGCCAUGCCGCGUGUGUGAAGAAGGUCUUCGGAUUGUAAAGCACUUUAAGUUGGGAGGAAGGGCAGUAAGUUAAUACCUUGCUGUUUUGACGUUACCAACAGAAUAAGCACCGGCUAACUUCGCG
rnacentral:rRNA from 1 species